CCGCGCCGUGCAAAUCCGGAGUGACCCGGGUUCCUCAGGUGAUGGGGUCGAUGCCACGGCUCCUGAUUGCUAAUCCAACAUGCAGCUAUCAUGAUAUCGCUGAUGUGUAAUGGCAUUUUAUUAGUGUCAGUCCCAGAGCGAUGCAAAACGCGGUGACUCUUCUUCUCCUCCUCCUCCUCCUCCUUCUCCUUCUUUUCUCCUUUUUUUUUUUUUUUGGUAGAUCCUCAUUUCCUCAUCACUGUUACUUAGCUCAUUUCUUUUUCUUUGGAAAAUCCCAAAGAACCAUCUUGAAGAUGCUUCCAGGGACAGCGUCGGAUCAAGCUUUGCAUCUGAAGCGCAGACCAAUAGCAAUGGUGUGUGCACGCCAGGGAGCAGGAACACAUAACAGGUGCCUCCCACACACCAGGAAAUCAAUUGAAACGGAGAGCUCUUGAUAUUUUUAACGGAUUGGGCCCCUGGUAUGCAGAACCUUACAUAAACUCUGUCAUUUUUUUUUUUUGUGAAGUGGAAAAGUUGGUUUUUGAAGGAGAAAUGUGAAAGAGCAAGAACCAUUCUGAUGAGUUACAGGGACAAGAAGACACUCACUAGAACUGGUGACUUUGAUCUUCUGAACAUGGUCAAGUGUGAAUGUAAUGAAGAGUUUACUUGCCUGACAGGCACAUUUAAAAGAAAGAAAAAAAAUAAAGUAAACCAAAAUAAAACAGUUUAAAUAAAUACUAUUUACUGA